rnacentral:lncRNA from 1 species
ACAACACAUGUAAUACAUAAGGGAAAGGGAUACAUAGUUGGCUUACAAUCGCCACGUCACACAAUACAUGAAUAUAACAUUACAUCAACCAGAUACACACAAGAUCCGGCUACGGUACCAAAAUAAAAGAAGACUACCCCAAAAGCUACACAGAUCCCCGAUCCUCCCAACUGGGCUCCACUACUGAUCAACUGAAACGAAACAACACUACGAACAAGGUCUUCAUCGAGCUCCUCCUUGAGCUCUAUAGCACCAUCUGCUCGCUAUCAUCGGCACCUGCAAACUGGUUUUGGAAGUAUCUGUGAGUCACGGGGACUCCGCAAUCUCACACCCUCGCGAUCAAGACUAUUUAAGCUUAUAGGAAGAGGUAAAAGGUAUGAGGUGGAGCUGCAGCAAGUGACUAGCAUAUAUGGUGGCUAACAUACGCAAAUGAUAGCGAGAAGAGAAGGCAACGACACGAUCGUUCAACUAUGAUCAAGAAGUGAUCAUAGAACAACCUACGUCAAACAUAACUCCAACACCGUGUUCACUUCCCGGACUCCACCGAGAAGAGACCAUCACGGUUACACACACGGUUGAUGUAUUUUAAUUAAGAUAAACUUCAGGUUUUCUACAACCGGACAUUAACAAAUUCCCAUCUGCCCAUAACCGCGGGCACGGCUUUCGAAAGUUCAAUCCCUACAGGGGUGUCCCAACUUAGCCCAUCACAAGCUCUCACGGUCAAUGAAGGAUAUUCCUUCUCCCAAGACAAUCCGAUCAGACUCGGCAUCCCGGAUACAAGACAUCCUCGACAAUGGUAAAACAAGUCCAGCAAGACCGCCCGAUGUGCCGACAAAUCCCGAUAGGAGCUGCACAUAUCACGUUCUCAGGGCAACACCGGAUGAACACUACGAACAACUAAAACCAACCCUCAAGUUUCCCCGAGGUGGCGCUGCAAGUGGCUCUGUUUUGGACCAACACGCAGAGGAGCACUGGCCCGGGGGUUAAAAUAAUGAUGACCCUCGGGAGCGCGACUCCCAAGGGAAAAGUAGGUGGUGGUGAGGCAAAUGGUAAAACCAAGGUUGGGCCUUGCUGGAGGAGUUUUAUUCAAAGCGAACUGUCAAGGGGUUCCCAUUAUAACCCAACCGUGUAAGGAACGCAAAAAACGGGAACAUAACACCGAUAUGACGGAAACUAGGGCGGCAAGAGUGAAACAAAACACCGGGCAUAAGGCCGAGCCUUCCACCCUUUACCAAGUAUAUAGAUGCAUUAAUUAAAUAAGAGAUAUUGUGAUAUCCCAACAAAAUAUCCAUGUUCCAACAAGGAACAAACUCCAAUCUUCACCUGCAACUAACAACGUUAUAAGAGGGGCUAAGCAAAGCGGUAACAUAGCCAAACAACAGUUUGCUAGGACAAGGUGGGUUAGAGGCUUGGCUUAACAAUAUGGGAGGCAUGAUAAGCAAGUGGUAGGUAUCGCAGCAUAGGCAUAGCAAAAGAGCGAGCAACUAGCAAGCAAAGAUAGAAGUGAUUUCGAGGGUAUGGUCAUCUUGCCUGAGAUCCCGCAAGGAAGAAGAACGAGUCCAUGAAGAAGACAAACGGACGUAGCCAACGUAUCCUCCCAAACGCAACGUUACCGGAUUACCGAGAAGAAGUACACCGGAAAGAAAGCAAACAACAUAGUGAACAAACAUCACAUAAGCAUGGCACGAUGCGCAAACAAAUAUGAUGCAUGUCCGGUUUAAUGAGGCAUGGCAUGGCAAAGUGCACAAACAACCCUACAAAUUAAGUGAAGCUCAAUAUGCAACUCCGUUGCAUAUUGACGGAACACCACAUUCAAGUUAUUUAGUUCGAUCUCGUUUAUGUACCCAACAACAUUAAAUGUUGAUUAACAUGGCAAGGG